rnacentral:rRNA from 1 species
GAUUAACGCUGGCGGCGUGCAUAACACAUGCAAGUCGAACGAUGAAACUUAACUGAUUUCUUCGGAAUGAUUUUAAGUGGAUUAGUGGCGGACGGGUGAGUAACGCGUGAGUAACCUGCCUUGGAGAAGGGGAUAGCCUUUGGAAACGAAGAAUAAUACCCUAUGAUAUGAUAAUAUCUCAUGAUAUUAUCAUCAAAGAUUUAUCGCUCUAAGAUGGACUUGCGUCUGAUUAGUUAGUUGGUGAGGUAACAGCUCACCAAGGCAGCGAUCAGUAGCCGGCUUGAGAGAGUGUACGGCCUCAUUGGGACUGAGACACGGCCCAGACUCCUACGGGAGGCAGCAGUGGGGAAUUUUGCACAAUGGGGGAAACCCUGAUGCAGCGACGCCGCGUGAUUUAGAAGGCCUUCGGGUUGUAAAAAUCUUUUGUAUGGGAAGAAAAUGACAGUACCAUACGAAUAAGGACCGGCUAAUUACGUG